CUUAUCUAGGCCAAAUUUUGAAUUCUGGUAAACAAGAUGUGCGCGCUUACUCCGUACCGAUUUGAAUGAGAAGACUUCGCACCAUAUAAACCACAAUAAUAACCUCGGGAUUUAUUAACUUUGAAUGCAUGGUGUUGGUUGCAUCAUCCAUAUUUUCAAAUUCCCACAUUCAAAAGACCCGCCUUUGGUGAAGGCAAAGGUAUUGUGCUAUUCUUUCCAAGGGGCAGAUUCCUUAUCAGCCUUUUCAGUGUAUGUGAUUCUAACCAAGUCU